rnacentral:misc_RNA from 1 species
AACUUUCAGCAACGGAUCUCUCGGUUCUGGCAUCGAUGAAGAACGCAGCGAAAUGCGAUAAGUAAUGCGAAUUGCAGAAUUCAGUGAGUCAUCGAAUCUUUGAACGCACAUUGCGCCCUGUGGUAUUCCGCAGGGCAUGCCUGUUCGAGCGUCAUUUCAACCCUCAAGCCCUGCUUGGUGUUGGGCCCUGCCUGUCGCAGCUGGCCCCAAAGUCAGUGGCAGUGCCGUGUGGCUCUAAGCGUAGUACGUCUCUCGCUCUAGGGUCCCACAGCAGCUUGCCAGAACCCCGAAUUCUAUGGUUGACCUCGGAUCAGGUAGGGAUACCCGCUGAACUUAAGCAUAUCAAUAAGCGGAGGCU